GUCAGGGAUGGGGAUGGGGUCAGGGUUGGGGUUUGGGGACAGGGAUGGGGUUUGGGGUGAGGGAUGGGGUUUGGGGACAGGGAUGGGGGUCAGGGUUGGGGUUGGGGUCAGGGUUGGGGGUCAGGGAUGGGGAUGGGGUUGGGGGUGAGGGAUGGAGUUGGGGUCAGGGUUGGGGGUCAGGGAUGGGGAUGGGGUUGGGGUCAGGGUUGGGGUUGGGGUCAGGGAUGGGGUUGGGUUGGGGUUGGGGUUGGGGUUGGGAUUAGGCUCAGGUUUGGGGUUGGGAUUAGGCUCAGGGUUGGGGUUGAAUUGGGGUUGGGGUUGGGAUUAGGCUCAGGAUUGGGGUUGAGUUGGGGUUGGGGUUGGGAUUAGGCUCAGGAUUGGGGUUGGGGUUGGGAUUAGGCUCAGGAUUGGGGUUGAGUUGGGGUUGAGGUUGGGAUUAGGCUCAGGAUUGGGGUUGGGGUUUGGGUUAGGCUCAGGGUUGGGGUUGGGCUGAGGGUCGGGAUCGGGGUCAGGGCUGGGGUUUAGCGAAUGCUUUCAGCCCUCAGGGUUCGGCUCGGGUUGGGCUUUCGGGGUCCCCCGACCCCGCAGUCGGACCCCGAG
ensembl:lncRNA